rnacentral:rRNA from 1 species
GAUGAACGCUAGCGAUAGGCUUAACACAUGCAAGUCGAGGGGUAACGUGUUGGAAGCUUGCUUCCGAUGACGACGACCGGCGGAUGGGUGCGUAACGCGUAUGCAACUUGCCUCACAGUGUAGAAUAACCCGGAGAAAUCCGGACUAAUACUCCAUACACUCUUAAGUACGCCUGUACAUGAGAGGAAAGAUUUAUCGCUGUGAGAUAGGCAUGCGUCCUAUUAGGUAGUUGGUGAGGUAACGGCUCACCAAGCCGACGAUAGGUAGGGGUGCUGAGAGGUAGAUCGCCCACAUUGGGACUGAGACACGGCCCGAACUACUACGGGCGGCAGCAGUGAGGAAUAUUAGUCAAUGGAAGAAACUCUGAACCAGCCAAGUCGUGUGAAGGAAGAAUGUCCUGAGGAUUGUAAACUUCCUUAGCGAGCGAGUAAGGACUUCCACGUGAUGGGAGUUUGAAAGUAGCUCGAGAAUAAGUAGCGGCUAACUCCGUG